UUCGUUGUUGGGUUGCUGCCCCUGAAAUGGUAAUUUUAAGGAAAUUUUGCUAUUUUUGGUUAUUAUCUUGAAUAUUAUUAUAGAUAGAGAUAAACUGUAAACAGCAAUAAUGUUCAGCAAAGUAAGAUCUACAAAUAAGUCAACAUGACCAAAAUGGUCAGUUAAACCACUUUAGGAGUUAUUGCCCUUUAUAGUCAAUUU
rnacentral:lncRNA from 1 species